rnacentral:rRNA from 1 species
UGAGGUGUGGGUAGCGGUGAAAUGCCAAUCGAACUCGGAGAUAGCUGGUUCUCCCCGAAAUAGCUUUAGGGCUAGCCUCGAGUUAGAGUCCUGGAGGUAGAGCACUGAUUGGACUAGGGGUCCCUACAGGAUUACCGAAUUCAGUCAAACUCCGAAUGCCAGAGACUUAUUUCUCGGGAGUCAGACUGCGAGUGCUAAGAUCCGUAGUCAAGAGGGAAACAGCCCAGAUCACCAGCUAAGGUCCCCAAGUAUACGUUAAGUGGAAAAGGAUGUGGAGUUGCUUAGACAACUAGGAUGUUGGCUUAGAAGCAGCCAUCAUUGAAAGAGUGCGUAAUAGCUCACUAGUCGAGUGACUCUGCGCCGAAAAUGUACCGGGGCUAAACGUAUCACCGAAGCUGUGAAUGAACACCAUCAGGUGUUCGUGGUAGGGGAGCGUUCAAAGGGCUGAGAAGCUGGAUCGUGAGGACCAGUGGAGCGCUUUGAAGUGAGAAUGCCGGUAUGAGUAACGAAAAGAAGGGUGAGAAUCCCUUCCGUCGAAAACCUAAGGUUUCCUGAGGAAGGUUCGUCCGCUCAGGGUUAGUCGGGUCCUAAGCCGAGGCUGAAAAGCGUAGGCGAUGGGAAACAGGUUGAAAUUCCUGUACCACCUCCUCACCAUUUGAGUAAUGGGGGGACGCAGAAAGGUAGGGUAAGCGCGCUGUUGGAUAUGCGCGUCCAAGCAGGUAGGCUGAGAAGCAGGCAAAUCCGCUUCUUGUAAGGCUGAGCUGUGAUGGCGAGGGAAAUCAUAGUACCGAAGUUCCUGAUCCUACACUGCCAAGAAAAGCCUCUAGCGAGGUGAGAGGUGCCCGUACCGCAAACCGACACAGGUAGGUGGGAUGAGAAUUCUAAGACGCUCGGGAGAACUCUCGUUAAGGAACUCGGCAAAAUGACCCCGUAACUUCGGGAGAAGGGGUGCUCUCUAGGGUGUUAAAGCCCCGGAGAGCCGCAGUGAAAAGGCCCAAGCGACUGUUUAUCAAAAACACAGGUCUCUGCGAAGCCGCAAGGCGAAGUAUAGGGGCUGACACCUGCCCGGUGCUGGAAGGUUAAGAGGAGAGGUUAUCCCCUUCGGGGAGAAGCUUCGAAUUGAAGCCCCAGUAAACGGCGGCCGUAACUAUAACGGUCCUAAGGUAGCGAAAUUCCUUGUCGGGUAAGUUCCGACCCGCACGAAAGGUGCAACGACUUGGGCACUGUCUCAACGAGAGACCCGGUGAAAUUAUAUUACCUGUGAAGAUGCAGGUUACCCGCGACAGGACGGAAAGACCCCAUGGAGCUUUACUGUAGCUUGAUAUUGGAUUUUGGUACAGCUUGUACAGGAUAGGUAGGAGCCUUGGAAACCGGACCGCCAGGUUCGGUGGAGGCGCUGGUGGGAUACUACCCUGGCUGUACUGAAAUUCUAACCUCGGACCGUGAUCCGGUUCAGGGACAGUGUCAGGUGGGCAGUUUGACUGGGGCGGUCGCCUCCUAAACAGUAACGGAGGCGCCCAAAGGUUCCCUCAGAAUGGUUGGAAAUCAUUCGAAGAGUGCAAAGGCAAAAGGGAGCUUGACUGCGAGACCUACAAGUCGAGCAGGGACGAAAGUCGGGCUUAGUGAUCCGGCGGUACCGUAUGGAAGGGCCGUCGCUCAACGGAUAAAAGCUACCCUGGGGAUAACAGGCUAAUCUCUCCCAAGAGUUCACAUCGACGGGGAGGUUUGGCACCUCGAUGUCGGCUCGUCGCAUCCUGGGGCUGAAGUAGGUCCCAAGGGUUGGGCUGUUCGCCCAUUAAAGCGGCACGCGAGCUGGGUUCAGAACGUCGUGAGACAGUUCGGUCCCUAUCCGUCGCGGGCGCAGGAAAUUUGAGAGGAGCUGUCCUUAGUACGAGAGGACCGGGAUGGACACACCGCUGGUGUACCAGUUGUUCCGCCAGGAGCAUAGCUGGGUAGCUACGUGUGGACGGGAUAAGUGCUGAAAGCAUCUAAGCAUGAAGCCCCCCUCAAGAUGAGAUUUCCCAUAGCGCCAAGCUAGUAAGACCCCUUGAAGAUGACAAGGUUGAUAGGUCUGAGGUGGACGCGUGGCGACACGUGAAGCUGACAGAUACUAAUCGGUCGAGGGCUUAUCCUA